rnacentral:sRNA from 1 species
CUUGGUUACAUUUACUGCUUUCUGUUCUAUACUUGCUUUUGAAUACGGACUUUUGAACCUCAAAAAAUGACAUUUGAAGCUGCCAAAACAGACAAAGGUCUUCAAUCCCCAUCAUAUAAGACUCCUCCGUCAUAGGGUCAAGUUCACUCUAUGCCUUGAGGACACUCCUCUUCCUUCGUUCAUCACUGGGAUACCGGAUGAGGAAAUGGGAGAGGCGGCAGGUGCAGCGGCCGACAUGGAAGCAGCAACCGAGGAGUGAUAGCAUGGGGCGAUCGACGCCAGCGUCAGCUGAGGCAGGGGCAAUAGGGACGAUCUACAUAGCACCAUCCCAUGACGUUUGUAGGGGACAUCCGAUCAGCUGGCCCGCUCUGGUGCGAAGUUAGCGGAGUGUGAAACUUUCAACGUGCGGUCCGAUAUGUAUUCAUUCAAAAGGGACAAUAUUAUUAUUACAUAAAAAUACACUUGAUUCGUUUUAAGAAGAAAAAAACAUUGAAAGUCCCGGGAAUGUUUGCAUGAUAUCACAUCAGAUUUUGAUGUUGUCAAGCGCAAAUACCAAACGGUCAACCGCCUCCUCAACCUUCUUCUCAGUUGACUUUGUUGAUUCUGCAAGGGUCUAAUAUCAGUGGCUGGAACGAAUCAAUUGUAUGGUAGACCAAAAGUUGUUCGUAAUAUUAAUACGAUAAAGCUCACAUUGCUCCAUGGUUCUUGGCCUUGAGAGCUAGUUUAUACAUCUUGAGCGAAUGGCCCGGUACCACUCGUGUAUCGUGAUCACCGGUGGUGAUGAGCAUAGCAGGGUAUUGGACAGAAGGAUCGCGGCUGACAUUGUGAAGAGGGGAAUUAACGUGAAGGAUUGCGAGGGUUUCGGGCUCUUCCGGGGAACCAUAUUCAGUCAUCCACAUUCGUCCAAGGGUCUGCAAAUGAGGUGAUACGCAUAAGCAAGAAGUCAAACAGAAAGCAAAAGUUGACACUCACAAAUUUGUGGUAUCUGAUCAAGUCUGUGAUAGCCACGUCAGCAAACACGACAGAGUAAAGCUCUGGGUUCCGAACAGUAGCAGCAGAAACAAGGAGACCACCGUUGGAGCUACCGUAGAUGGCGGUGAGAGAGGGGGUGGUAAGUCCUCGAGACUGGACAUAUCGAGCGGCGUAAGCAAAGUCAUCCCAGCCGACAGAGCGCUUGAUACCGAUAGCAGCUUCAUGCCAUGCUUUGCCGUAUUCACCACCUCCUCGAAUACCAGCGAUGGCAACCCUGAAAGGAGUCAGCGGAAUUAAUCUGUCGGGCGAAGAAAUGAAGCUUACACUCCUCGGAGAUUACGCAUAAAAACGGCAAACAUUGGGUCAAAAUGGGGAAUAAGAGGUGCACAGAAGCCCCCAUAAGCAUGGAGAAGCAGAGGGUGAGGGCGAGAGAGGUCAAGGUCAUGAGGGUGACAGAUGAACAUGGGAAUCCUGACACCGUCAUGUGAGGUAUAGAAUACUUGAGAGCAAACCAACGUCUCUUGAGCAGCGGCCUCAGAAGAAUUGACACUACUAAUGUCUACCUCGUACCGACCAGUCUUGUUCUUGAUGAGCUCACCCUUGAGUACGUACGAAGGCGCAACCCAGGUGUCGACCGUAAAAUAAAAGUCAUUGGUGUCAGGUCGGCAAGAAAUGCUGGUGAUAGCACCGUGCUCAGGAAUGACGACUUGUCCUUCCUUUGCGUACUGGACCUCUUCCUCCGGAACGGGCACUUGAGUCUCUGGGUCGGCAGCAACGUUACCAUGGGUGCCUUCGGCAUCGGCAGAACCCAGAGGCUUGCCCGUGCGAGCAUCAAUGAAGACAACAGAGGCGCAAGCAUGUUUGAGGUAGAUCAGAGCGAGCAGUCGGUCGCCGAUGAAGUAGGCACUUUGAAGUUGGUGGCCUUCGGGAUCCGCGGGUACAAUCUCUUGCAUAGGCAAGGUACCGUCGAUGCUUGUGGCAUCCCAGUCGGCGGAGUCGAAGGCAAUGAUACGGCCGGUAGAGACGCCGUCUGUGAAAGAAGUGAAGAAGUGACGCUCGGCACUGGAUGAACCAAUAUCUACCCUUCAUUAACAACGGAAGUCAUAUUCUCGAAGUCGACACUCACAUUGAGUUUCUCCAGUAAAACCUCUGGACACCCACUUCAUCUCCUUGGCGACCAGUUCUGGAAGAAUAACACCAGCAGGGCCGGCAGUGCCACCAGGCAAUUCGACCAGCAGCAGCUCAGUCUCAGGACUGGUAUUCUUGUAGACGUCGAGAGCCAAGAAUGCCCUCUUGUUGUUCUCCUCCUUCUCGUCGACGGUAACAACCUUGGCUUUACCAACGAAUUGAAAUUCUCCAGACGGGGGCCCCCAAACGAUAACAUCGGCGGACUGGUGUUGGCCGAUUGCGUGGUAGAACAUGCCGAAGGAGCCGUCGAUACCGUCGUAAUCGUCACUAGUGGCAUCGUAGUCGAUAGAUCGUUUGUAAAUGAAACCCUGUCACCCAUGUCAGUUAACGGAGAGAGGGACAUAAAAACGCAUUCACCUUCUCGCCUACCCAAGUGACACCGAAAGUGAACUUUGAUCCUCCCAAGUCCUUUUCCAAGACAGUUUUGCUCUCGGUGUCGAUGACUCGAAUCCUUUGCCAGUCACUCCUACAUAUCCGGACAGCACACCAGAGUUUCCCGCUAGGGCUAAAGCUAUGGGCAUAGAGAGAGAUAUUCUCCUCCUUAUUCAAGUCAUAGAAGAUUUCGGGACCAGCAUUGCUAGGUGUCUUCCCAAAGUCGCGCUUGAGGUCCUUUGAUCGAACGAUGACAUCUCGAGGAGCGGUACCAGGGUUAAAUUUCCAAUAAUAAUAACCAUCGCCCUGAAGUUCGGGACUGGUCAUACGUUCAUGGUUGUAACAUUGCUCGACGGCGGCCUCGAGCUCUUUUCGAAAAGGAUGGCUGGUAAGCCUGGGAACAGAGAACUGUGUUCGCUGGUCAGAUAUGAGUUCUUCCUCAUAAUGAAAGCACUCACGUCGUUUUGUUCCUUGACGAACUUCUUUGUCACCUCGGAAUCGGCGUCUUCAAGAGCUCGCCAGUGGUCCUCGAUUUCAAUUCCGUGGAUAAUUUCAGUAACACCGCCAUGUCGAGGAGGAACUGGGUAUGGUGAAGAGUUAACAUUUUUCCUCCAGUGUCCGGGACUGAUUGUAAAAUCAGACGCAUGGACGUUCUUAAGAGUGCCAUGGGGCGUCUUGUCUGUGCUGAAAGAGUGACUUGCUUGUUGACCGCUCAUCUUGCCGCGUUGUGGGUGGAUGUUAUUCAAGGCGUUGGUAGCUUGCUUAAAACACUCUUACGGAAACUGCUUGGAUCAGAGAUAACUCUUGACAUUUUUGUAACUCAGCGUUAUUAUGGGCAAAUGGACUCGUUAGUGAGUGGAUAAGAAAGUGUUUGACGCGCGCCUCCGAAAAUAUAAAGAGCGAGACUAAGAAUAUUAAAAAGCUCCCUCGGGCUUCGCGUCAAAGAGGGUGGAGGCUGGGUGGGGGAAUGCUCGUCGGACGGAGUCCAACAGCGGCUGAAACCGACCCCGAACGCCCAAACGCCAAAUAAAAACACAAAGCAAAAUAAAGGCGCCCGGUUGUUGCAGGAUAUAUAUGAUGCAGAAUGCAGAAUGCAGAAUUGCCGAACCUGGUAAAAUGAUAAGGGGCAACAAGGUUGGAAGGUCCGGCGGAAGGAACUCCCCCAUUGGCUGCUGGCCCCUUGUUCUUCGAAGAUAAAAGAAAAUUAUUCAUCAUCUUGUGUUGUAAGACGGCGAUGACAAGAAGAGGAGGCCGUAACCGGUAGACGAGUCCAGAUAAAGAACAAGAUGUAAUGUCAACAACAAAUAAUGACAAAAGAACAAUAGAUGAAUGAGUGAUUAACGGAUGACAUGAUGCAGGUGGAAGAACAAGCAUGAUGUUGUGCAACGUGGUGACAGUAGUGGCACGAUAUAGAGGAGAGACAAG